GCUGGGCGUGGUGGCACAUGUCUGUAAUCCCAGCUACCGGGGAGGCUGAGGCAGAAGAAUCACUUGAACCCAGGAGGCCUAGGGUGCAGUGAGCCGAGAUCAUGCCACUGCACUCCAGCCUGGGUGACAGAGUGAGACUCGGUCCCAA
rnacentral:sRNA from 1 species